GCUGGAGUCAUCCCUCUGUAGUGUUUUGCUAUGGCAGCCCGAGCUAACUGAGAAUGUGGGAAGGACUUGGCCUAACGUUGCUGGCUUUGAAGACCGUGGUAGAAGCCCAUGAGCCAAGGUCAGUGGGCUGCAUCUAGAGGGUGGAAAAUGCAAUAGAUUGCCCCCUUGGUCCACCAGAACAGAACACAAUCCUGUUGACGCCUGGAUCUUAGUUCUGCGAGACCCAUUUCAUGUUUGUGCUGUAGGAUAAUCAAUUUGUGUUGGCCUUUGCCAAUAUACAGUAUAGCCUUUUAUUGCAGCAGCAAUAGAAUGAACACAAGUACUAAUAGCUGUAUAGACAGGGCAGACCACUGCAUAUUUUAGCAAGUGCAACAAGGAAGAGAAGGAAGGUGCAGUUAUUAAAACUGGAGGUAAAGAUGCUGGAAACUUUCUGCUUGCAAAUAUCUCAUUCCGAACUUCAAAGGCUGCAAUCGUUUGUUCUUGCUGAUUGAAUCAAUUCCAGGCGUUUAUUAUAAACACUAUCUGGAGCGUCUCAAUGGUAUCUAUAUUUUAGUAUCAUUGAAUAAUUUAUAAGAAAGAAGUUAAGAUUUUAUUUGCACCUAAUUUCCAAAUGGAGAUUUCAGAGCAAUAAAUUGUCUGCUGUGAUCCUGAAGCCCUAAUUUUUUUUUUAAAAAAAGUUCUAUCUUAGCCCAGCUCCUAGAAACAAAGAAUGCAAGUAUAUAAAAUUCAGGUUUGGGAAAUAAUAAAAUAUCUAUGCUUCCUGCAUGCAAAGACUCUGUUUUUUAAAUUUAGCCAUUCUGUGAAGUAAAGAUUCUGCGUAUUUUCCCACCAAGGAAGAGGAGACACCGCGUUGCAAAGGGGAGAGGCUGCACCCGGGCAGGCUGCUUCCUGGGACUGUGCCUGAAAUCAUUAGUCACUGCCACAUGAAGCGGUUUUAAAUGGAGGAAGUGUGAUUCUUAGGGUUUCAAAACCAUGUCUGAUUUCAAAAUGAAGGCUGAUCCGUCUUUUUUGGUUUUAAGUGAGCAAGAAGACCUCACAGGCCGAGGUUAGAAAUCGUAAAGCAGGCACUGGCCUGCAGGGGGUUAAGCUGUCCCCUUCCGUGCUGUAAUCCCGGGUGGGUGCCAGUUGAGUUCCAGCUGCUGUUUCUCUGAUCCAGUUCCCUGUAAACGCACUUUCCUACCAGCAGAAGAUGCUCCUUGCAUGGCUGCCACCCCCACGGCACACCCAGAUGGAGUCCAGCCCUGGCCACUGUGGCCAUUUGGACCCGUGCUAGCCGUUGUGGCCGUCUAGGAAGUGAGGAAGCAGCCUAGAUGGUGCUUCUUCCAGGAAGAGUUCUCUGGCCUGGUAGUCUUUCCCUGGCUGGAUCGCUUGCUCUGUCAUCUCUACCAACUCCCCACUCGUUACGCUGGCAUUUGUCUCAUCAUCAGCUACAUGCUCACUUGUUACAGAAUCGUGUAAGUUGCAGAAUCUUUUUAUUUGUAAGGAUUUCAUUGUAUUUGAAAGGCUAAGUUA